rnacentral:rRNA from 1 species
UACGAAGGGUGCAAGCGUUACUCGGAAUUACUGGGCGUAAAGCGUGCGUAGGUGGUUUGUUAAGUCUGUUGUGAAAGCCCCGGGCUCAACCUGGGAAUGGCAAUGGAUACUGGCAAGCUAGAGUGCGGUAGAGGGUAGUGGAAUUCCCGGUGUAGCGGUGAAAUGCGCAGAUAUCGGGAAGAACACCCGUGGCGAAGGCGGUUCUCUGGGACGGUACUGACGCUGAGACGCGAAAGCGUGGGGAGCGAACAGG